GACGAACGCUGGCGGCGUGCCUAACACAUGCAAGUCGAACGGAACUUUGUUGGAUGAGACUUCGGUUGAUGAAGAUAAAGUUUAGUGGCGGACGGGUGAGUAACGCGUGAGCAACCUACCUUACAGAGGGGGACAACAGUUGGAAACGACUGCUAAUACCGCAUGAUAUAGCGAGGAGGCAUCUCUUUGCUAUCAAAGAUUUUAUCGCUGUAAGAUGGGCUCGCGUAUGAUUAGAUAGUUGGUGAGGUAACGGCUCACCAAGUCGACGAUCAUUAGCCGGACUGAGAGGUUGAACGGCCACAUUGGGACUGAGAUACGGCCCAGACUCCUACGGGAGGCAGCAGUGGGGAAUAUUGCGCAAUGGGGGAAACCCUGACGCAGCAACGCCGCGUGAAGGAUGAAGGUCUUCGGAUUGUAAACUUCUUUUAUUAAGGACGAAGAAGUGACGGUACUUAAUGAAUAAGCCACGGCUAACUACGUGCCAGCCGCCGCCGUAAUAC
rnacentral:rRNA from 1 species